rnacentral:rRNA from 1 species
AUACGGAGGGUGCAAGCGUUAUUCGGAAUCACUGGGCGUAAAGGACGCGUAGGCGGGUUUGUAAGUCAGGUGUGAAAUCCUACAGCUCAACUGUAGAACUGCACUUGAAACUACAGACCUAGAGUAUGGAAGGGGCAGAUGGAAUUAGUGGUGUAGGGGUAAAAUCCGUAGAUAUCACUAGGAAUACCGAAAGCGAAGGCGAUCUGCUGGGACAUUACUGACGCUGGGGCGUGAAAGCGUGGGGAGCAAACAGGAUUAGAAACCCUAGUAGUCC